rnacentral:rRNA from 1 species
GACGAACGCUGGCGGCGUGCCUAACACAUGCAAGUUGAGCGACGAACCAGGGCUUGCCCUGGGGCAAAGCAGCGAACGGGUGAGUAACACGUGGGUAACCUACCCCGAUAACCGGGACAACCCGAGGAAACUCGGGCUAAUACCGGAUGUGCUCACUGGACUUCGGUUCAGUGCGUAAAGGAAGCUUCGGCCUCCGUAUCGGGAGGGGCCCGCGGCCCAUUAGUUUGUUGGUGAGGUAACGGCUCACCAAGACCGCGAUGGGUAGCUGGUCUGAGAGGACGAUCAGCCACACUGGGACUGAGACACGGCCCAGACUCCUACGGGAGGCAGCAGUGGGGAAUCUUGCGCAAUGCGCGAAAGCGUGACGCAGCAACGCCGCGUGGGGGAAGAAGGCCUUCGGGUUGUAAACCACUUUCAGGAGGGACGAAGGUUCGGCGGUGAAUAGCCGUCCGGACUGACGGUACCUCCACAAGAAGCCCCGGCUAACUACGUG